UACGGAGGGUGCGAGCGUUGUCCGGAAUCACUGGGCGUAAAGGGCGCGUAGGCGGCAUGCCAAGCGUGUGGUGAAAGCCCGGGGCUCAACCCCGGGUCGGCCGUGCGGACUGGCGUGCUCGAGCACUGUAGGGGCGGGUGGAAUUCCGGGUGUAGCGGUGGAAUGCGUAGAUAUCUGGAGGAACACCGGUGGCGAAGGCGGGUCUCUGGGCAGUAACUGACGCUGAGGAGCGAAAGCGUGGGGAGCGAACAGG
rnacentral:rRNA from 1 species